UACGGAGGGUGCAAACGUUGCUCGGAAUUAUUGGGCGUAAAGAGCGUGUAGGCGGUCCGGUAAGUCAGCUGUGAAAGUCAAGGGCUCAACCCUUGAAUGCCGGUUGAUACUGUCGGGCUAGAGUCCGGAAGAGGCGAGUGGAAUUCCCGGUGUAGCGGUGAAAUGCGCAGAUAUCGGGAGGAACACCAAUGGCGAAGGCAGCUCGCUGGGACGGUACUGACGCUGAGACGCGAAAGCGUGGGGAGCAAACAGG
rnacentral:rRNA from 1 species